rnacentral:rRNA from 1 species
CCUACGGGAGGCAGCAGUGGGGAAUAUUGGACAAUGGGCGAAAGCCUGAUCCAGCCAUGCCGCGUGUGUGAAGAAGGCCUUCGGGUUGUAAAGCACUUUCAGUGGGGAAGAAAGCCUUGGGGCUAAUACCCUCGAGGAAGGACAUCACCCACAGAAGAAGCACCGGCUAACUCCGUGCCAGCAGCCGCGGUAAUACGGAGGGUGCGAGCGUUAAUCGCAAUUACUGGGCGUAAAGCGCGCGUAGGCGGUCUGAUAAGCCGGUUGUGAAAGCCCCGGGCUCAACCUGGGAACGGCAUCCGGAACUGUCAGGCUAGAGUGCAGGAGAGGAAGGUAGAAUUCCCGGUGUAGCGGUGAAAUGCGUAGAGAUCGGGAGGAAUACCAGUGGCGAAGGCGGCCUUCUGGACUGACACUGACGCUGAGGUGCGAAAGCGUGGGUAGCAAACAGGAUUAGAUACCCCGGUAGUC